rnacentral:rRNA from 1 species
GGGUGUGUUUGGCUCGUCGUGAGACAGGUUAGUUUUAUCCUACUGAUUGAGCCAUUCGGAUAGUAAUCCAACUCAGUACGAGAGGAAUCGGUUGGUUCACAUGACCGGUAACUUCGGUUGGUCGACAGGCCAAUGCCGAGAAGCUGCCAUGUGAGGGAUAACAGCUGAACGCCUCUAAGCUGGAAGCCCUACUAGAAGAAUGGGACUGU